rfam:Ixodes scapularis strain Wikel colony gcontig_1107728770986, whole genome shotgun sequence.
GCAGUCGUAGCCGAGUGGUUAUGGCGAUGGACUAGAAACCAUUGGGGUCUCCCCGCACAGGUUCGUAUCCUGUCGACUGCG